rnacentral:rRNA from 1 species
AGUGAACGCUGGCGGUAGGCCUAACACAUGCAAGUCGAACGGCAGCACAGUAAGAGCUUGCUCUUACGGGUGGCGAGUGGCGGACGGGUGAGGAAUACAUCGGAAUCUACUUUUUCGUGGGGGAUAACGUAGGGAAACUUACGCUAAUACCGCAUACGACCUACGGGUGAAAUCAGGGGAUCUUCGGACCUUGCGCGAUUGAAUGAGCCGAUGUCGGAUUAGCUAGUUGGCGGGGUAAAGGCCCACCAAGGCGACGAUCCGUAGCUGGUCUGAGAGGAUGAUCAGCCACACUGGAACUGAGACACGGUCCAGACUCCUACGGGAGGCAGCAGUGGGGAAUAUUGGACAAUGGGCGCAAGCCUGAUCCAGCCAUACCGCGUGGGUGAAGAAGGCCUUCGGGUUGUAAAGCCCUUUUGUUGGGAAAGAAAAGCAGCAGGUUAAUACCCCGCUGUUCUGACGGUACCCAAACAAUAAGCACCGGCUAACUUCGUG